CCUGAUGGAGGGGGAUAACUACUGGAAACGGUAGCUAAUACCGCAUAACGUCGCAAGACCAAAGAGGGGGACCUUCGGGCCUCUUGCCAUCAGAUGUGCCCAGAUGGGAUUAGCUAGUAGGUGGGGUAACGGCUCACCUAGGCGACGAUCCCUAGCUGGUCUGAGAGGAUGACCAGCCACACUGGAACUGAGACACGGUCCAGACUCCUACGGGAGGCAGCAGUGGGGAAUAUUGCACAAUGGGCGCAAGCCUGAUGCAGCCAUGCCGCGUGUAUGAAGAAGGCCUUCGGGUUGUAAAGUACUUUCAGCGGGGAGGAAGGCGAUAAGGUUAAUAACCUUGUCGAUUGACGUUACCCCCAGAAGAAGCACCGGCUAACUCCGUGCCAGCAGCCGCGGUAAU
rnacentral:rRNA from 1 species